AUACGGAGGGUGCAAGCGUUAUCCGGAAUCAUUGGGUUUAAAGGGUCCGCAGGCGGACUAAUAAGUCAGUGGUGAAAUCCUCUCGCUUAACGAGAGAACUGCCAUUGAAACUGUUAGUCUUGAAUUCGGUCGAAGUAGGCGGAAUGUGUCAUGUAGCGGUGAAAUGCAUAGAUAUGACACAGAACACCGAUAGCGAAGGCAGCUUACUAGACCUGGAUUGACGCUCAUGGACGAAAGCGUGGGGAGCGAACGGGAUUAGAUACCCUAGUAGUCC
rnacentral:rRNA from 1 species